ACCAGGGAUAUCUCUGUUGGUAGAGUAUGAGCCCCCUAAUCUCAGGGCCGUGGGUUUGAGCCCCACCUCGGGCA